rnacentral:rRNA from 1 species
AUUGAACGCUGGCGGCAUGCUUUACACAUGCAAGUCGAACGGGCUGGGGGCAACUCCAGUCAGUGGCGAACGGGUGAGUAAUGCAUCGGAACGUACCCCGUAGUGGGGGAUAACGCCGGGAAACCGGCGCUAAUACCGCAUAUGCUCUACGGAGGAAAGUGGGGGACCGCAAGGCCUCACGCUAUGGGAGCGGCCGAUGUCCGAUUAGCUAGUUGGUGGGGUAAUGGCUUACCAAGGCGACGAUCGGUAGCUGGUCUGAGAGGAUGAUCAGCCACACUGGGACUGAGACACGGCCCAGACUCCUACGGGAGGCAGCAGUGGGGAAUUUUGGACAAUGGGGGCAACCCUGAUCCAGCCAUGCCGCGUGCGGGAAGAAGGCCUUCGGGUUGUAAACCGCUUUUAGCCGGAAAGAAAAGGCGCGUCCUAAUACGGCGCGUUCUUGACGGUACCGGCGGAAUAAGCACCGGCUAACUACGUGCCAGCAGCCGCCGUAACAC